AUUGAAUACCUAACAUUACCGAAGACAGUGUGUGGCGUAAGCCUUAAUAUCAUGCCGAGGAAGAUGUAAUUUUGAUAAGUUUAAUGAUUUAAACGAUAUUAUCAUGCAUUUAACACUCCCUUAUGUCAUCGGUGACUAAGGGAGUUUUUUAUUACAAAA
rfam:Atopostipes suicloacalis DSM 15692 genome assembly, contig: EJ15DRAFT_scaffold00013.13